rnacentral:lncRNA from 1 species
AGUAAUUAUUAUUUGUAAGUUGAAUUGUCUAGAAUCAUAAGAUAUGGCAUACAAGAGUAUAAACACAGAGUGGUACCAGAGACACUGAACUAAACAGAAACCACAAUGAUCAGUCAUUGGUCACCACAGACAUAAAAUCUUGUUAAACCAGUUUAGACUUACAAAGACUACAGAGAAACAAGCAAGUGGAAUUAUGAAAAUAACUAAGAACAAGUUAAGGGAAUACUUGUAAAGUCAUUGAGAAAAUGGAUAAACAUAAAUACAAAUGGAACCCCAAAAGAAGGAGGAAAAAAACCCCUUCUACUUUCCCCAGAAGCAUCAAACUCUUGCUGGUGAUGAAGUGGGGAUGUAGACGACUUGCUGGCACCCUUUCCUAUUUCCUCUGUCUGAGAAAGACUGUCCCACAGCCUUAGCCAUCUUGAAGGAGACUGGAGAGUGAAUGCAACACCAGAGAAAUCAGAAAACUUCCACUCCAGCAAAGCUCCCUCAGCAAUCACCAGGGAAGAGGAGCACCACACGUCUGCACAGCAACUUGAGCCAACAGAAGAUGGGAAGUGGAACCAUGCAGCCAAGGGCAGAGAGAGGAAAAUCAUUAUUAUUUUCCAGUGCAUUGUAUAAGCUCAUCAAACUUUUACAUUUUUAAAGUAUCAUGCAUGCAUUCAAGUACAACUGUGAACAUUUAUAUCUACUAUGUGGAAAUUUUUAAUUCUUUAACAAAUAUAACUUGUAUAUUUACGAAUAUUAUAUCUAACAUUUCUGUCUCCUGUCAGUAGUUUAUCUGAUUAAUCAGAUAGACUGGAAAAACUUAAAAUUUCAGUGGAAGAAAUUAUGUCAAUCUAAAAUCAAAUAUAUCAGAAAACAAUAAUGACCAGUUACCAUAUGUAAGUGCUGCAGCCAGGGCUUUUUUAUGUUCACUUGAAUUAUGGUAACUUGGUGUGAAUGUGAAUCCAAUGUGUCUCAUAACCAAAGGCAAAUACUGUUUCUCAAAUAACCAAUAGAAACUAUAUAUGCAGUGUGAAAAAGAUUGCACUGCUGGUUCUGACUCUCAGUUUCUCUUCCCUAAAAUCUGUUACUGGCUCCAAAGACACAAAUCCUUAGCUCCCAAUGCACCCCUCAACACCUGCCAUAAAGCCCUGUAGCACAUCAGCCUUUCAACUUCACGUGCUCCACAUCAACUCUGUUGAGCACAUCAUCAGUGGCACUUGGUGGGAUCACAGAUUUUGUACUGCCUGAUGACAGAUCUGGAUUUAAGUUCUUAUCUCUACAUCUGAUGUGCUGCCAUGGUUCAGGGCUUUGCCAAAACAAAAAAAAUUACUAUCUAUAACCCCUAAUUACAUGCAGACAUAAAA